rnacentral:lncRNA from 1 species
GGUAGGUCGGUUUUAAUUUUUUUUAAACUUUUUUUUUUUAAUUUUCCGAACAACCGGACGCCAUUUUGUUUAGUCAGUGCUUCCACAUCCAAAGAUAAAUUUCCCUAAUAUUGCCUCAAAUUUCAAUUUUCCACAAACUUUUUCCUCUAAGUGGAAACACUUACAAGCAUGAUCCAAUAAAAAAGUUUAGGGUCGGGAUUUCGACGUCAAAAACUAGGUAGGGUCGGGAAACCGGAAACCCAUAUAUUUUCUUUUGGCCUAA